rnacentral:rRNA from 1 species
UACAGAGGUCUCGAGCGUUGUUCGGAUUCAUUGGGCGUAAAGGGUGCGUAGGUGGUGGGGCAAGUCGGAUGUGAAAUCCCGGAGCUUAACUCCGGAACUGCAUUCGAUACUGCUUUACUUGAGUACUGGAGAGGAGAUCGGAAUUUACGGUGUAGCAGUGAAAUGCGUAGAUAUCGUAAGGAAGACCAGUGGCGAAGGCGGAUCUCUGGACAGUUACUGACACUGAGGCACGAAGGCCAGGGGAGCAAACGGG